rnacentral:rRNA from 1 species
UAAGCGGAGGAAAAGAAACUAACAAGGAUUCCCCUAGUAACUGCGAGUGAAGAGGGAAAAGCUCAAAUUUAAAAUCUGGCAGCUUCGCUGUCCGAGUUGUAAUUUAGAGAAGUGUUACCCGCGUUGGACCGUGUAUAAGUCUCCUGGAAUGGAGCGUCAUAGAGGGUGAGAAUCCCGUCUUUGACACGGACUACCAAGGCAUUGUGGUGCGCUCUCGAAGAGUCGAGUUGUUUGGGAAUGCAGCUCUAAAUGGGUGGUAAAUUCCAUCUAAAGCUAAAUAUUGGCGAGAGACCGAUAGCGAACAAGUACCGUGAGGGAAAGAUGAAAAGAACUUUGGAAAGAGAGUUAAACAGUACGUGAAAUUGCUGAAAGGGAAACGCUUGAAGUCAGUCGCGUUGGCCAGGGAUCAGCCUUGCUUUUGUGAGGUGUACUUCCUGGUUGACGGGUCAGCAUCAGUUUCGACCAUUGGAAAAAGGCUUGGGGAAUGUGGCACCUUCGGGUGUGUUAUAGCCCCUUGUCGUAUACAGUGGUUGGGACUGAGGAACUCAGCACGCCGCAAGGCCGGGUUUCGACCACGUUCGUGCUUAGGAUGCUGGCAAAAUGGCUUUAAGCGACCCGUCUUGA